ensembl:snRNA U5 U5 spliceosomal RNA
AUACUCUGGUUUCUCUUCAGAUCGUAUAAAUCUUUCGCCUUUUACUAAAGAUUUCCGUGGAGAGGAACAUUUAUGAGUUUGUAACCAAUUUUUUGAGGCUCCACCUUGGUGGAGCU